GAGAAGAGUCGCAUUUCAAUCUUAGGCUUCUAACCAAAGAAAAAGAGGUUAAACUCCUUUAUCUUCUCU
rnacentral:tRNA from 1 species